rnacentral:rRNA from 1 species
GAUGAACGCUGGCGGCGUGCCUAAUACAUGCAAGUCGAGCGAACAGACGAGGAGCUUGCUCCUCUGACGUUAGCGGCGGACGGGUGAGUAACACGUGGAUAACCCACCUAUAAGACUGGGAUAACUUCGGGAAACCGGAGCUAAUACCGGAUAAUAUAUUGAACCGCAUGGUUCAAUAGUGAAAGACGGUUUUGCUGUCACUUAUAGAUGGAUCCGCGCCGCAUUAGCUAGUUGGUAAGGUAACGGCCUACCAAGGCAACGAUGCGUAGCCGACCUGAGAGGGUGAUCGGCCACACUGGAACUGAGACACGGUCCAGACUCCUACGGGAGGCAGCAGUAGGGAAUCUUCCGCAAUGGGCGAAAGCUUGACGGAGCAACGCCGCGUGAGUGAUGAAGGUCUUCGGAUCGUAAAACUCUGUUAUUAGGGAAGAACAAAUGUGUAAGUAACUAUGCACGUCUUGACGGUACCUAAUCAGAAAGCCACGGCUAACUACGUG